GCGCCCAUGGCUUAACGGAUAGAGCAUCUGACUACGGAUCAGAAGGUUGGGGGUUCGAAUCCCUCUGGGCGCGCCA
rnacentral:tRNA from 4 species